ensembl:lncRNA
GGGACCUCUUUGCCCUCCAGAAACCAGGAAGGGAAUUGAGUUGGUCUGCUGCUUGCUUAGCGCAGACAGGGCUCUGAGCUGCACGACAGUUAGAGGGAGAGAGCGAGCUCCGGAGAGGAGGAGAGCAGAGAGAGAGAGCUAAGCCAUAACAAGCACCACCACGGCCAUCGCAGAGUGUAUUCUAGGAAUGACUGGGAAGUGCCAAUCGCCAAGUCAGGCCAUGCUUUUACAGUGGAACACUAUUAAAGGUCAGCCGGGACGAUUUCUGUCUCGAUAAACACCAACUUCUGGUGCUACGUUGUGUCAUGAGUUAGCUUAGCCCGGUAGUGACACUGUGGUUCCGAGGUGGAAGACCCCCGAACUGCGCCGUGUUGGGAACACGAGGGUGCACACGGCCCCCAGAACCAUCAGCCCUCGAGGCGACGCAACCGAAACUGAAGUCGCAGUCUGUCAGUCUGUUAAUCCCCAAAGAACGAUCGUGAUAGCCAGACCCUGCUGCUGCCACUGCUGCUGUGUGUGUGUGUGUGUGUGUGUGUGUGUGUGUGUGUGUGUGUGUGUGUGUGUGUGUGUGUGUGUGUGUGUGUGUGUGUGUGUGUCUGUGUCUGUGUCUGUGUCUGUGUGGUGGUGCAGGGGCGUUGUCUGUACCUCUGUGCGGCGGUGUAC